UACGUAGGGGGCAAGCGUUGUCCGGAAUCAUUGGGCGUAAAGAGCGUGUAGGCGGCCAGAUAAGUCCGCUGUGAAAUCUCGAGGCUCAACUUCGAGCUGUCGGUGGAAACUGUCUGGCUAGAGUCCGGAAGAGGAGAAUGGAAUUCCUGGUGUAGCGGUGAAAUGCGCAGAUAUCAGGAAGAACACCCGUGGCGAAAGCGGUUCUCUGGGACGGUACUGACGCUGAGACGCGAAAGCGUGGGGAGCGAACAGG
rnacentral:rRNA from 1 species